GCUAUUUUGGCAGAAAAGUGUAUUAGAUUUAGAAUCUAUAAAUGUAAUUGGAUUACAAGUAGUG
rnacentral:tRNA from 1 species